UCAGCUUUGGUGCAGUAGGUAGCGCAUCAGUCUCGCAAGCUGACGGUCCCAAGUUCGAUCCUCAGAAGCAGGG
rnacentral:tRNA from 1 species